rnacentral:rRNA from 1 species
AAGGAAUAACGUCGAGAAAUCGGCGCUAAUACCUCAUAAUGCAGCGGAUCCGCAUGGAUAUGUUGUUAAAGGUUACCGCCUUGGGAUAGGCUUGCGUCUGAUUAGCUAGUUGGUGUGGUAAUGGCACACAAGGCUACGAUCAGUAACUGGUCUGAGAGGAUGAUCAGUCACACUGGAACUGAGACACGGUCCAGACUCCUACGGGAGGCAGCAGUGAGGAAUAUUGGGCAAUGCACGAAAGUGUGACCCAGCAACGCCGCGUGGAGGAUGAAGGUAUUCUAUAUCGUAAACUCCUGUGAGAGCAGACGAAAGACAGAUUAUUAAUUUGGAUGACUGUAUGCCCAGAGGAAGCCCCGGCUAACUACGUG